CAAGGAAUUUUGCGCAAUGGGCGAAAGCCUGACGCAGCAACGCCGCGUGAGGGAUGAAGGCCUUCGGGUUGUAAACCUCUUUUAUCAGAGACGAAUAAUGACGGUACCUGAGGAAUAAGCUUCGGCUAACUACGUGCCAGCAGCCGCGGUAAUACGUAGGAAGCAAGCGUUAUCCGGAUUUACUGGGCGUAAAGUGGACGUAGGCGGCCUUUCAAGUCGGAUGUGAAAUCUCUUGGCUUAACCAGGAGGGGUCAUCCGAUACUGUUGGGCUUGAGGGCAGCAGGGGAAGGUGGAAUUCCCGGUGUAGUGGUGAAAUGCGUAGAUAUCGGGAGGAACACCAGUGGCGAAGGCGGCCUUCCAGGCUGUUUCUGACGCUGAGGUCCGAAAGUGUGGGGAGCGAACAG
rnacentral:rRNA from 1 species